rnacentral:rRNA from 1 species
CACGUAGGGCGCAAGCGUUGUCCGGAAUUAUUGGGCGUAAAGAGCUCGUAGGCGGACUGUCACGUCUGCUGUGAAAAGCUGGGGCUUAACCCUGGCCUUGCAGUGGAUACGGGCAGACUAGAGGUAGGUAGGGGAGAAUGGAAUUCCCGGUGUAGCGGUGAAAUGCGCAGAUAUCGGGAGGAACACCGGUGGCGAAGGCGGUUCUCUGGGCCUUACCUGACGCUGAGGAGCGAAAGCGUGGGGAGCGAACGGG